CGGGAUCAGAGUUCCUGAAGUGAUUAUCUUUAUGAAUAUAAAAGGGGACUGUGCUAAACCUGUAAAAGGAGUCUUUACAAUCAAUAUAAAUUGUAUAUCAAUCUAAAAGUUAACUUUGUAAUCCUAUUUCCUUUUGAACCUUUUGUCCCUCUUAGAGAUAACAGUUUUUCUUAGUCUAUCUGUCAUUUUUAGAAUACAGUUGUUAAUUUACUGUAAUUCACAAUUUAGUGAAUAAAUACCAUUCUUUACUA